GACGAACGCUGGCGGCGUGCUUAACACAUGCAAGUCGAACGGAAAGGCCCUGCUUUUGUGGGGUGCUCGAGUGGCGAACGGGUGAGUAACACGUGAGUAACCUGCCCUUGACUUUGGGAUAACUUCAGGAAACUGGGGCUAAUACCGGAUAGGAUCUCCUGCUGCAUGGUGGGGGUUGGAAAGUUUCGGCGGUUGGGGAUGGACUCGCGGCUUAUCAGCUUGUUGGUGGGGUAGUGGCUUACCAAGGCUUUGACGGGUAGCCGGCCUGAGAGGGUGACCGGCCACAUUGGGACUGAGAUACGGCCCAGACUCCUACGGGAGGCAGCAGUGGGGAAUAUUGCACAAUGGGAGGAAGCCUGAUGCAGCAACGCCGCGUGCGGGAUGACGGCCUUCGGGUUGUAAACCGCUUUCGCCUGUGACGAAGCGUGAGUGACGGUAAUGGGUAAAGAAGCACCAGCUAACUACGUG
rnacentral:rRNA from 1 species